rnacentral:snoRNA from 1 species
UCAUGUGGUGGUUUUCUUACUGGCACAUUUGUUAAGUUUUCAAAUGGGCCUGACUCUGCCACAUAUAUUAUAUAGAAGCUGGGAAAGGCUUGAUGACAAAGAGAUCUCUCUCUCUGGCCUUUUCUACAUCAGAGAUUGGCUCCCACAUGU